rnacentral:rRNA from 1 species
GGAUAACACCUGGAAACAGGUGCUAAUACCGCAUAACAGAAGGGGACGCAUGUUCCUUUCUUGAAAACUCCGGUGGUACGGGAUGGGCCCGCGUCUGAUUAGCUGGUUGGCGGGGUAACGGCCCACCAAGGCGACGAUCAGUAGCCGGCCUGAGAGGGCGGACGGCCACAUUGGGACUGAGACACGGCCCAAACUCCUACGGGAGGCAGCAGUGGGGAAUAUUGCACAAUGGGGGAAACCCUGAUGCAGCGACGCCGCGUGAGUGAAGAAGCGUUUCGGCGCGUAAAGCUCUGUCAGCGGGGAAGAAACACGGUUCGCGAGAGCCGCGGACGGUACCCGACCAAGAAGCCCCGGCUAACUACGUGCCAGCAGCCGCGGUAAUACGUAGGGGGCAAGCGUUAUCCGGAUUCACUGGGUGUAAAGGGAGCGUAGACGGCGAGACAAGUCUGGAGUGAAAGGCCGGGGCCCAACCCCGGGACUGCUCUGGAAACUGCCUGGCUGGAGUACAGGAGAGGUAAGUGGAAUUCCUAGUGUAGCGGUGAAAUGCGUAGAUAUUAGGAGGAACACCAGUGGCGAAGGCGGCUUACUGGACUGUAACUGACGUUGAGGCUCGAAAGCGUGGGGAGCAAACAGGAUUAGAUACCCUGGUAGUCCACGCCGUAAACGAUGAUCACUAGGUGUCGGGGGUUAGAAGGCCCCCGGU